AUGGAAAAGGGGAGAAGACGGGAGAGGAAGAGGGGAAUUGGGGAAAAGGGGAGAGGUGCUGGGCUGGCACCAUCCUGUCUCAGGAAUGUCCUUCACACUGACAUGGAGAGAUGGAUGGAUGGAUGGAUGGGCGUUCAUGAUACCACACACACGGCACUGUACAUAAGACCUGUAAUGUACCUUCUGCUGCAUGUGCUGUACAGUAGGCAUAAUGUGAUUGGUUAUAUAUUGUACAGUAUGCAUAAUGUGAUUGGUUAUAUAUUGUACAGUAUGCAUAAUGUGAUUGGUUAUAUAUUGUACAGUAGGCAUAAUGUGAUUGGUUAUGUAUUGUACAGUAGGCAUAGUGAUUGGUUAUGUACUGUACAGUAGGCAUAAUGUGAUUGGUUAUGUAUUGUACAGUGGCAUAAUGUGAUUGGUUAUGUAUUGUACAGUAUGCAUAAUGUGAUUGGUUAUGUAUUGUACAGUAUGCAUAUGUGAUUGGUUAUAUAUUGUAACGUAUGCAUAAUGUGAUUGGUUUAUAUAU
rnacentral:lncRNA from 1 species